rnacentral:lncRNA from 1 species
CAUCACAACACCAACGACGAACGAUUCAGUACAAAACUGACUCGUGACCCGCAAUCCACGACCCAAAAUCGUCAACCAACUCUGAUAUCAGCGAAAACCUGACCCGACCUUGUACACGCACGUCUCACGCGAUAGUAUGACGAGGAAAGGUUCGAGAAUCUUCUAGAAAAAUGCCUAGGUGUCUCAUCCAAUGUUCGAAUCUCGAGAUUUUUGGGUUAAUUGGUACUAAUUCGUACACACUCGCUCAAUUUCUAUUGGUUGAUAAAGGGAAUUUCAUCCCUCAAUUCUAUUGGUUGGCCAAUUUUGAAUUUCAUCAAGAAAAUUCCAAAAUUCGUACAAGUUGUUGGUGGAAAACCCUAUAUUCAGCUCCAAUUCGAAUUUCCCCUACCAAAAAUUCCGAGUUUACCCCCGUUGUCCUCUUUCCCACAUCGUUCAAAGCCUAAGAAGGAACCUUCAAUUCUCUCCUAUAAAAGGAGCUCGUUGUCGAGCCGUGAAGGGGGUUGGAAAUUUCUUUUGGGGGGAAACAAAAACAAGAGAAAAAGUCUCAAAUAAGGGAAGGGGGGAAAACCUGAGAGGUUCGAAAAAGCUUUUGGAAAAAAUAGUUUUUGUAGUAUAAGUUCUUUUGUUUAAGAAAGGUCAACGAUUGUUCGGAUUUUUUGGAGUCACGGCAAGGUCCUCCGGUGGUAAUCGAGAUUUCGUCAAAAGUUCGAGUCCUGUUUUGCUGGCCCGAGAGAGGUAAAUAUACCUUUUCCCAUUUGAUUUUAUCAGCAUAUUUCUUCUUCGUCCCUUUUCUCUAUAGCAAUGGUUGGUUGUUUGGUUAUAAUUGUGGUGAUGCUGUGAUUAUUCGCUGUAGAGGCUCCAAAUGCCAUAAGUUUGAAUGAUGAAAGUAAGGUCUAUUGUAUGGUUAUGAUAAUUUUUCUUAAGUGUCUAAUUCUUUGUUCAUGGUUUCAUCUCUGUUUGUUUGGCUUUUUUCAUUAAAAUCUGCGACCUCGUGCUGGUUUGACGUUGUCUGAUUUUUGUUCACAAGCCUAAAGAUGGAGUUUUUGUAAGGGCAUAAUCAAGAAAAUAGCAUCCUGUUCUUUGUUCUCAUGUUCAAUAAUGCAGGAAGUUUUUCCUUAUAUAUGAAUGAUAUUAAUAUCUGUUCUUAGCUAUGCUUUGUUUUGCUUUGGUCUGUGUGUGAAUUUCUUUUGUCAAGUAGGAAUUUGUCCUUGUUUUCUAUUCGUUAUCGUGAAUAAGAAACCCCCCACCCCACCCCGUCUGUGAAUAGCUAAAAUAAAACGGGAUGAAGAUGUAUUCAUGUGAUAUUUGUUUGGGUUCCCUUUCUGAUUUUGCUAUCGAUAAUUUGAUUUUGAUUGGAGACCAUGUUCUUGGAUAGCUUAUGUUAAGUCCAGGAUCGACAGUUUGUUUUCUUUAUCAUCUCCUUCUGGUUUUCUCCUUUCGUCCAAUUGUUGUCCUUUGCUUUCAGUAAUAAUCUUUGAUCAUUUGCUUAAAAAUAUUAAAACCUGCUUUUGAUAUAGUAUAACUCACUGAAAUUUGCCCACUCUCUUAGAAACUGUAUGCGAGAACUAUGUUGGUUGGUCUCUCUUUUGGGGUUUGGGUUUAUUUUUGUCAUUAAGUACUAAUUUAAGGAUAUGGAGAUGACUACAUUAUUUCUCCUUGCCUAUAUUGUCGUUGUUCUGCGCAAUUAUGGUAUACUGAUGUCGGCUGGCUUGAUCACCUUUAGUUUGUGUGGGGUUUAACUCGUCAAAGAGCAUAAUGUUUGUUUCUUUGUUUUCUUUUUCUACUUGUGAAUUGAUCUAAAAGGAAUUUAUUCUCCUCUCUAUCCCGAAUACUAGCAUGUGCCUCGUUUAUAGAUCUGUUUCGUCUCUUUGAUUUUGCAUACAUUCAGUCCAUAAAAUGUUGUUGGAUUCAUAACAUCCAAAGAACUAGUGAACUAGACAAUGCCUAGGAAUGGUUUAAUUUAGGAUUCCUUAAUGAUCUCUUGACUUUUGGUUCAAUAUAAUCUCUCGAGGAGAGGAGGAAGCUAGUGCAAAGCUAUUGUCGUUUGUCUUAAGUGUUAUAAAUCUGAAAGUUUUUACCUUUACUGUAUGUCGAUGCUUUAUUAAAAGUAUUACUAGAUUGUUGUGCUUAUGUCUUUUCUUGGUAAUGCUAUAGUUUUGAAUUCACAGAUUUUUUAGUAUGCACUUGGCCUUAGUUCCUUUUAGAGCAGACUGUGUCCUUAUGAUAUGGUUUGGAUUAAUUUCUUUUACCUUAAUCAACAAUGCUUGGGUGUCCAAAUAAAGGGUGACUUUGUUUGGAUCUUUUAUUUAGCUCGAUAGAAUAUAUUUGGAACACUAACAACUUGUUUGGAUGGUGGUUUGACAUGGUUUCAUAAUGUAUGGUAUGGUGUAGUAUGGUGUGGUAUAGUAUGGUAUGGUACAGUACCAGGUUUGGAUGGAAUGUAUCGUUCACUGCGGUUUAAUAAUAGAUUUUUUGUUUGGUUUGAUGGUAUGGUACGGUAUGGUAACAGGUAAAUUUACUAAAAUGCCUCUAAUUGUAAUACAUUUGAGAUAUCAACUCUUUUAUCCAUAUCAGUGCUAGUGCUAGCGUACCAGUUGUCCUUUCUUUCUUAAUGCUUCUCAUAGCUACCCUAUGAUCCUUUUAAGACGCCAAAUUCACAAGGGUAUUUGCUAAACAAAGGUUUGACAAACGCAAACUAAUGCAAUCGGGAAGUACUUCCCAAUCAAUAAAACAAUUGGUAUACAUGCAUGUAUCUUAGAGUUCGAAAAUCACUUCCCAUGUAUAUGCUUUUUGUGCAUUCACUCUGUUUUCCUCCAUUUCAAUUUUCAAUUUUUUUUUGAUCGAAUUGAGUUUUUAUUGGCAUUAAAAACUACUACUACUAAAUAACUAUGAUCAUGAAGUCUUGCAAUCUUCGAUCUUGUUAACAAAUGCGUAGUCUUAUCAUGUAUUUUGUUGAUAAGGAUAAAAUAGGAUUAAAGAAAAUUAUACAAGGGUAUAGUUGGAAAAGAAAAAUGAAAAUCAUGGCACACCACCAAUUUGGUGGUUCAAUAACAGCCUAUUUGGAUGGUGAUUUGCCAUGGUAUGGUAUGGUUACCAUGGGAACCUUGUUUGUUUCCAUGGUCUUCUAAAAAUGGUGGUAUGGUAUGUUACUAUUUCAUGGUUUGAUAACCAUGGCAAGAGGCAAUUUCUUGAACCACCAAUUUAGUGGUGUGGCAUGGUUCUCCUUUUUUUUUUUUUCCAACUUUGCCCUUAUAUAAUUUUAUUAAACUUAUAACCCAUUAUACCCUUUUACUCUUCUUAACCUUAUAUACUCUCUUCUUUAACUUAACUCUCUUCUUGACUACAACAUUCAACUUCGGCACCACCCUAGCAUUUAACAUAGUAGUAUCCUAGAAGAAAUAAGAGACACUGCUACCCCAUUGACGCCUUUUAGGGUUUUUCCAUUUCCGGGUAGAAUAGAUAUAGGUAUAGGUAUUUUGCGAGGCCGACAACGACGAGGACGGUGGGAAGUGGAAGAAGGAGGUGGGUCGAUGAGUUCAACGUAGCUGACAGAGAAAACGGCGUCAUCAAUACCCUCAUUGAAAACAAGUAGGGGUAUUUUAGUAAAAUUACCCAUUAACAUACAAUACCAUACCAUCAAUCCAAGCAAAAAAACUAUUAUUAAACCAUAGUGAACGAUACAAUCCAUCCAAAUAUGGUACAAACCAUAUCAACCUUUUUUCUUCGUAUAAAUAACAUAAAUAUUAACCUUUAAAAAGUAAUUACUCUCUCCCACUUUUUUAAUUACUUUACUCUCUCUCCCUAUUAAUAUACAUAACAUAGUCAACAUAUACAUAACAUUUUGUGUAUAUGUGAGAUUUUUGUAAGAUGUUUAGGGAGUUGAGAUUUUUUGUAAUAUUGAAAACGUAAGUUGUGUAUUUGUGUAAUUUUUAGUUUUUCUUUUGCAUGAAUCCCUCAUGGUUGAGUCCAACAGGCUCAAUUUCUCCUUGCAUUUUCCUCAUAGGCCAUUGAGGCCCACUACCUCUAUUGAGUCAACUCCUAGAGAAAGUUCAAAAGUCGAUCAUGUGGUGUACAAUUAUGAGAAGUCAAAAGAAGAAAAAUGGGUUAAUGUCUCAUAUUUAAAAAGGCAAAGAGACUCGAGUCUCAUUUUUCUUUAUUUAUUUAUUGUUGUCUUAUUUAUUUCUUUAUUUAUUCAUUUGGGCCUCGAAGCCAAAGUUGUAAGCUAAUACAGGUGAAGCGAAACUUGAGCCAAAGGCUUGAAAAAAUAGUUUAAGACACGUUAUGGGCCGAAAGCCAAAUGCUUAGAUUAGGAUCGGUACAAGUGAGUCAAAAGCUCAAUUAGAAUAGGACAGGGUUUGUUGAUUUGGGCUCAAUGGUCUAAGUCUUUUACUUUCUCCCCUUCCCUUUUUUAUGUGCUAUUUGCUAUUUUAUUCACUUAGACUUAGUUGAAAUUUCCGCUAAGUCGCUAAAAAUGAUUUUGCAAAAGCUUUUAAAAAAAUUCCUUAAUCAACUUUUUUUCAACAAUCGACCCUUUUUUAGAAUUAGUCAAAAGGAAAACUAUUUUUUCAAAUAGUCUGGAUAAUCGCAAGUUAACAGACAUUUUAGGUGCUUUAAAAAAUCUCCCUAAAAUAUUAAUAGGAACUGCUUAUCUAGAAUUUCAACUUAAAUGAUUUUCUUGUUUUGAAUCAUCUAAGUAUUUUAUAAAGAUUUUUUUAAUUUCUUUUCAAAUAAAUUAAGUGGCGACUUUAAAAGUUAAAAUUUUUGCAAAACAAUUAUUAUAGAUGUUUUUUGCAAUAUGCAUCACAUCAAUGUUAGAAUUCUAGUAUGGUAAAUCUCAAAAUAUGCUUCGCUUUUUCCACCCAAAUGUCUUACAUAUUGUUUUAUUAACUUGUUCUGCAUCUAAUUUUGUUACAUUUCAUAUCCCCAAAUUAUAAAUUUGAUUCAAAAUUUUCUCUCCUGUUCCAUAUGUUGAUGGGGUCUUUUGACAGUUUGACCUUUAAGAAAGUUCUUUCGAUCUCUCCUAAAUGAGUGAUAUUGGUCAAGGAGCAUUUUGUGGCAAUCAAACCAUGAUUGUUUUCUUCCAUGCUGUAAUCUAAGGGAUUGUGUUUCCUUUAUACAAUAAGGGCAUGCUAAUUUACCCGCAAUACUCCAUUCUGAUAACAUAGAAUAUGCUGGAAAGUCACUAAUUGUCCAUGCCAAAGUUGCCAUUAAUUGAAAGUUUUGCCUUUUUGAGAUGUCAAAUACUUCUACACCUGUCUCUCACAAUAAGGUCAGUUCCUUUAUUAGAGGAUGCAAAUAAACAUCAAUUUUAUGUUUGGGAUUGCUCGGACCGGGAACAAUGAUUGUUAAGAAUAUAUAAGCCUUUUUCAUGCACAUUCUUAGAGGGAAAUUGUAUGGAGUGACAUUCACUGCCCACGAAGAAUAUUUCCUUCCAGACUGACUGAAUGGUUGAAAACCAUUCGUACAUAACUCCAACCUAACAUUUAUUGGUUCAGCGGCAAAAAAGUGAUUAGUUUCAUUGAAGUACUUCCAAGCCUCAGAAUCUGAUGGAUGACGCAUCACACCAUCCUCUUUUUUAUGAUCAUGAUGCUAUCUCAUGUCGGUAGCUGUAGCAUGGGAUGCAUAUAAUCUUUGCGAUCUCGGAAUCAAAGAAAAAUAAUACAUUUUCUUGUAAGGAACCAAUUUCCUCUUAGGAGAGCUAACACAACGCUUAUACAUUGGCUUGCUACAAAAUUUACAAGAUGUAAGGUGUUCAUCAUCAUCACCCCAAUACAACAUACAUCCUGAUUCAUAGCAAUUAAUAUUUUCAACUGGCAAACUCAAAACUACACACUAGCUUCUUCGCCUGAUUAUAGCUAUCAAGCACUAUGUUAUCUUUAGGUAGAGCCUCUUUAAGCAAUUGCAUCAUUUGGUUAUAGGCUCUCUGCGAAAUAUUAUUCUCCAUUUUAAUAUUUUACAUUCGAGAGACAACUGCAAGUUGAGAGAGGGAUGAAAUGGGAUAUAAUUUUGCAUUAGCAAAUCAUAAAAUUUUUUAGAUAGGAUUAGGAUCUUCCGACAUUGAAUGUUCAAAAGGAUGAGAUGACUUAGGUUCAAUAUUGUUAUAAGAUUGCCAACUUGAACCCUGACAAAAUUUGGGACCAUCUGCAUGCAAAACAUUUGUCGGUAUGGAUUUUCUCCGAAUAUAGGUUGACCAUCACCAUGCAAGUCAUUACCAUAAGAAGUCCCACUUAUAAAGGUGACAUUUAACAGUUUCAACAUCCACGAAUUUAUAGUUCUGACAUUUUGUACAUGGACAUCUAACUUUGUCACCACUUAUGCGAUUUUGUUGAGAAUAUGCGAAUUGAAUAAAUUCAUUCACAGCAGUUACAAAACUAGAGUAUAAAGCCCCUCGACCAUCUAACCUCUCAUACAUUCAAUCACGCUCUAGAUUAUUUAUGUUCCUAUUAAUGUUGAAAUAAAAAAUAGGAUAAUCAGUGUAGAACUGUGCUCUUCAAUCAAAAGUUCACAACAAAGCAAAAGUCAUCAAUCAAUAUUAAUGUAAGAAGGAAUUAAGUUACAAUUCUGAUGCGAGACAAUAAAUCAAUAUCAAGGUAAUCAACUACUAAAAUAAAGUACAAUUAAACACAUUCUCUAGCCAAUCAAAUUAUCAAAAAACUGCGAAAAAAGCAAAUGGAUAAAAUAAAUUAUCAAAAAAAAUAGUCGGAGAAUAACAAUUGAAAUAACAAUAGAAAUUUCUAGGAACUGAACUUUGUUCAUACAAAAUGCAACAAGAAAUUACAAUAUCCAGAGCUUUACAGAAAACAAAACACAGCAACAUCAGAAGUACUCACUGAAUCAUAUAAAAUUUCAAAAGUUGUAAUAUUGGAUUUCCACAAAAUCCAACUUAAAUAAGAACCAAUAAUACUACUUUAACAUAGCUAAAUCCCCUACUAGAACCACCAUACUAAUUAUCGAGAAUAUUUUACCUGAUAGGUCAAAUUAUUGAACUUCAAAAUUCCAGUCAGCUCUAGGACACACCUUUCCCAUACUUUUUCACUUAUCCUUCACUUUUUCAACACUUCAAUUUCUGCGAUAUUAACCGAAAAAAAUCAUAACUUUGAUGAAAAAAUAUACAGAUUUAGUACCAAAUGCUUGC